AUUUCAAAAUGGCAGAGCCCGCGGAAAGACCCCCUGGAGUCGACUCCAUUUCCCAAGAAAAGAUGUCAACAGCGCGACUUGUAACAAUUAUAAGGCCGAGGAGGGUUAUUUGAACACACACCAUUCAAUUAUUAUAAAUGAAAGUCACGUUUUUUAACCGCUCCGGUCUCGUCCCAGCGGAAGUGACGCUAGCACGUCAUCAGAAUACAACAGAUCAACACGACGAGAGAGACAUUCUGCCGCUAGACAAAGGUCACCGAGCAGCGACGAAGUUUGCAUUUUCGGUAGAGGUCCAGGGAGCCACGAGGGCGGUGCUAAAGAGACGCGGGUUGCUGACCCCCGGCCUACACCCUAGACUGGCCGCCAGUUCAUCGCAGGACACAUGAAAAAGCCUUCGCCCUCAAAUCAGAGAAGUAUUCAUUUACUCUAACAUGAUUUUUAUUCAGUUCAAUGCAUUUAUUGUCAUUGUCAUAGUGAAUAACACACACACUGCAUAGUAACCAUGUAUCAAAAAUGCGUUAGGUGGUGCAAUCCUGACCCAUGAAACGCGUAAACACAAAGGGUGCCACGAACGAUGCACAAAAUUCACAGUCUGGUAUGGAUCGGUACUUGAGCGGCGCCGUUCGAUACAUUUUUUCAAUACCCAAAAGAGGGAAAUGUUCAUGCCUUUUUUUUAACUUGUAGUUUAUUGAAAUUGUCGUUGUCCACGACAGAAAACGGUCGGCAAGGCGAGUUUAUUUACAGAGCACAGUUCGUACUACAGGCAGGCCAGUCUAGUACCCGCACUCUUUUACUACGAAGCCACGCUGUUGUAACACGUGCAGAAUGUGGCUCGGCGAUAUCUUACUGAAAUAAGCAGGGGCGGCCAUGAAAAAGACGUCGCUUGGAUGGCAACUUUUGUUGCUCCAAAACCUGUAUGUACCUUUCAGCAUUAAUGGUGCCUUCACAAACGUGUAAGUUACCCACUAAUACACCCCCAUAUCAUCAAUCUUUAUUGCAGACCUUAAGAUCCAUUUAAACAUAUAAAAACAGAAUAUAAUACAUUAAAAAACAAAACAAUAAAAACAUACAUUAAAAACAAAACAAAACAAGUUUUCCAUACAAUUACAGACGCUGGGUUUUCAACUUUGCGCCUAGAACAAUCCGGAUGGUUCUUUUCCUCUUUGGACCGGAGGACACGACGUCCACAGUUUCCAAAAACAAUUUGAAAUGUGGACUUGUCAGACCACAGAACACUUUUCCAGUUUGCAUCAGUACAUCUUAGAUGAGCUCGGGCCGAGCGAAGCCGGCGGCGUUUCUGGGUGUUGUUGAUAAAUGGCAUUCGCUUUGCAUUGUAGAGUUUUAACUUGCACUUACAGAUGUAGCGACCAACUGUAGUUACUGACAGUGGUUUUCUGAAGUGUUCCUGAGUCCAUGUGGUGAUAUCCUUUACACGCUGAUGUCGCUUUUUGAUGCAGUACCAACACAAAUACAACUUUGAAACUACGUGCUUUCUGAGAAGAUUACCGUAGUAACUAGUAUAUCAUGCAAAAGCGCAGAUUCCAACCAAUCAGUCCAACUUAGAUGAGCUCAGGCCGAGCGAAGCCAGCGGCGUUUCUGGGUGUUGUUGAUAAAUGGCAUUCGCUUUGCAUUGUAGAGUUUUAACUUGCACUUACAGAUGUAGCGACCAACUGUAGUUACUGACAGUGGUUUUCUGAAGUGUUCCUGAGUCCAUGUGGUGAUAUCCUUUACACGCUGAUGUCGCUUUUUGAUGCAGUACCAACACAAAUACAACUUUGAAACUACGUGCUUUCUGAGAAGAUUACCGUAGUAACUAGUAUAUCAUGCAAAAGCGCAGAUUCCAACCAAUCAGUCCAUCUUAGAUGAGCUCGGGCCGAGCGAAGCCAGCGGCGUUUCUGGGUGUUGUUGCAUUUAUCAACAACACCCAGAAACGCAGAGUUUUGAGGACGAAAAUGAAUUGAUACCAUUUUAGAAUAAGGCUGUAACAUAGCAAAAUGUGGCAAAAAAUGAAGCGCUGUGAAUACUUUCCGGAUGCAGUGUACAGUAUAAAGGGCAGAUCAAUAGAAGUGAUAAUUAGACGUUGCAGUUCAUGGGUGGGAUGUGAGAGAGGGUCACUGCCUGAGGAUACAGACGAGCUGUUGGCAAGUUGUCCUGGCACGUAUAGACCUGUUCCUUCUACCUGAGGGCCGCAGGUGAGGAGCAGGGUGUUGUUGGUCACGCAGGAUGCUGUGCACUCGCCUCAGACAGCAGGUAGUGUAGACUGUGCCCAUCUCUGGAAGACUUGAUUUUUUUUCAGCUGUUUUAAUCACCGAUUAGAGAGUCUGCUGUCAUGGCACACUUAUAAAAGCUCACUCUUACACUAGGAAGUGGAGUCAUUCAUUGCGCUUUACCUGACACAUGAAACGUGACAAAUACGAUCGCUGAGAUGAAACGGAUCAGGCCCGUGAACAGGUUCUAUCCGGAUGAAUUUGCUAAGUAUACAAAUGAGCUGAAAUUUUUCUAUGAAAGAAACUGCUGUUUUAAAUGUGUCCACUAGAUGUGGCAAUGGCAAUUCUUUGUAUCUUUGUAGAUGAUGCUACAUACAGUAUGUACAAAAAAAAUAAAACACAUGAUGUUAGUGCAACAGUCGAAGAAAAUUAGCAAACUACAUAAAUAACAUCCUGUAAUUUGAUUUUGAUUUUUUUUUUUUUAUCUUGUUAGAUUGAAAAUGAACACCAAUGAGUUGACUGAUGAACAUUAUCACGUCAUUUAUUCAGAAAGUAUAAAUAACGACAAUUAAAGGUAGAACACUAUUAACUGCAACAUGUAAGUGUAAAAAAACAACAUGAUUUGUUUAUUUUUGAGAAAUUCUAUUUUUAAACAAAGAAAACAAUCUGAAGUUGUCUUUAUUUUUAAGUUAUCGUGCCGUGAUUUUACCAGUCCGGCCCACUUGGGAGUAGAUUUUUCUCAAUGUGGCCCCCGAUCUAAAAUGAGUUUGACACCUCUGGCCUAGAUAAAUUGGUAAACAUCCUCACAAAUAUUGAUAUAAAGCAUUACCGUAUUUUCCGGACCAUAGGGCACACCGGAUUAUAAGGAGCACUGCCGAUGAAUGGUCUAUUUUUGAUCUUUUUUUCAUAUAUAAGGCGCACCGGAUUAUAAGGCGCAUUAAAGGAGUCAUAAUAUAUAUAUUUUUUUCUAAAUGUAAAAGACUUCCUUGGGGUCUACAUAACAUGUAAUGGUGGUUCUUUGCUCAAAAUGUUGCAUAGAUGAUGUUUUACACAUCAUCUUCAAGCCGCUUCCGGGUGCGCCGUUUUGUGGGCGGUCUUAUUUACGUGGCUCACCUUCGGCAGCGUCUUCUCCCCGUCAUCUUUGUUGUGAAGUGUCAAAAGAUGGAGCUAACUGUUUUAAUGACAUUCAGACUUUACUUCAAUCAAUAACGGAGCAGCAUCUCCUCAUCCAGAAACAACAACACCAGAAAUGUGUCCCGUGAAAAACCGUCCGACCAGAACUUUAGUAACUAAAGUUCCUUGGGUGAAUAAUGGUAACUCACUACACCAGUAUGUUUUAGGGCUUUCAUGGCGAGUUUACUGACUGAAAUAAGUAAUAACUUUACACUGCUUUUUAUUAGAAAUGGCAACAGCAGAAGAUGGAUGUCCCAUAACAAGAAGGUGGAGAAAAAGAAGAAGCUUAUCGACUACGGUGUCGGCACGGACUACAAAGGCGGACCUGCACAAAUUUUCAGGUACCAGAAGGUAAGAAAAGUUUCUUUUGCAUAAUAUUGCGAAACAAAACACCAGAAAAUAUGUCUUACCUUAUACACACACCAUAAUAAUACUCCUAUGUUGAAGCACAGUACAAUCCAUCAAGCGGUGCAGUUUCAUAGCUGACCAAAGUCCUACUAAAACAUUUUGAUAGAUUUUUGAGCGCCGUGUGUAAUGUUCUAUAUUUUCA